UUUCGGGUAACAGAACAGAAUCAAGAUGAGAAAAACUUUCACGCAUUUUAUGCUCUGUUUGCUGGCAUGUCCGAAGAGGACCUCUCACAGCUGCAAUUGGAAGAGCCCAGUGAUUACAGAAUUCUCACAACGUUUAAAGAUGGAAGCGAGCAAAGAAAAUACGAAAAGAAAUUUUCACAGAUGGUUCGACUUUUUCAUGAGAUUGGCCUAGAUAAAAAGACAGUUGAUCAGAUCUACAGAACAUUAUCGGCCAUUUUACAUUUGACCAAUGUCGAGUUUGAUGAAGACCCCGAUGGUGCUGCAGGAAUUGCUAACGAGAAAUCUGAU